rnacentral:misc_RNA from 1 species
UUAUUUAUAGACUUGAAGUUGCUUAAGUGUUCACACAAAUUGCUUGAUGAUUUUAUUGUUUAGAGAGACUGAUAUUUGUUCUUUAACAAUGUGGUAAAAAGUAUAAGUAAAGAUUCCUUGAUUAAUUUAGGGUUAUUUUUAUUUUCGAUUGAUAUGUAUUUUUAUGUUAUGAUUGAUAAAUGGGAAUUAUUCCUUUUCAUAAUCUUUAACAACAAAAAAUAAUUUUUUUUUGAGAACCGGUGCUGAGAUAUAGGUUUGAUUGGUUUUAGUUAAUAGAUUUUAGAUUUAUUGAUAUAAGACUUUUUGGGGUUAUAUGAU